AUACUUAACCUGGCAGGGGAGAUAUUAUGAUCAACAUGGUGAGGCUUCUCCAUUGUACUAGGGAUCAGCUGACCUAUGCUAUUUUCCCAACUGCAGGAAACUCAGCGGCAUAAUUUGAGAUAGCUGGGGAGUGUUCACACCCUCCCCUG
ensembl:snRNA U1 U1 spliceosomal RNA